rnacentral:snRNA from 1 species
UUGCCGACCCUCAGUAGGA